ensembl:lncRNA
CUGAUCAAAACAUCGAGGCAGCUGUAGGUUCCUUCCACAAGUGACUGAAUGCUGAGACGUGAGACCAGAUACAAUCAGGGCUGACAGGAGACAGAGGAGAGAAGGAUGAAGGAGGUGAUGUGAGAACUGCAAUCUGUCUAGGACAUCCCUGCAAAGAAACUAUAAGGGGAAGGUUUUGAGACUUGACAGGUUCAGAACUGUUGGGAUUACCUGUACAAUGAUGGAUGGUGCUAUACAGCAGCAGCACAGUAAUGUUUUGGCAGCCCAUUUGCCAAAUCUUGCAGGAGG